rnacentral:tRNA from 1 species
CGCUGAUAGCGUGAGGUCGAUGGUUCGAGUCCAUUUAGGCCCA